rnacentral:ncRNA from 1 species
GGUCAAGUAAAAUAAGCGCAUACGGUGAAUGCCUAGGCGGUAGAAGGCGAUGAAGGACGUAGUAGCUUGCGAAAAGCCUCGGGGAGUUGGCAAACAAACUUUGAUCCGGGGAUAUCCGAAUGGGGAAACCCACCUGUCGCAAGACAGGUAUUCUGCACUGAAUACAUAGGUACAGAAGGCAAACUCGGGGAACUGAAACAUCUAAGUACCCGAAGGAACAGAAAUCAACCGAUAUUCCCUCAGUAGCGGCGAGCGAACAGGGAACAGCCCUUAAAUUCUAAAUUUACUAGUGGAAUGAACUGGAAAGUUCAGCAAUACAGGGUGACAGCCCCGUACAUGAAAGCAAAUUUAGGGUGAAAUCGAGUAAGGCGGGACACGCGAAAUCUUGCCUGAACAUGGGGGGACCAUCCUCCAAGGCUAAAUACUCUCUACCGACCGAUAGUGAACUAGUACCGUGAGGGAAAGGCGAAAAGAACCCCCACAAGGGAGUGAAAUAGAACCUGAAACCGUAUGCGUACAAGCAGUCGGAGCCUGCGUUUUAGCGGGUGACGGCGUACCUUUUGUAUAAUGGGUCAGCGACUUACUUCUCAGUGGCAAGCUUAACCAAAUAGGGGAGGCGUAGGGAAACCGAGUCUUAACAGGGCAUCAAGUCGCUGGGAGUAGACCCGAAACUGGGCGAUCUACCCAUGGCCAGGCUGAAGGUAGGGUAAUACCUACUGAAGGGCCGAACCGGGAUCUGUUGAAAAAGAUUCGGAUGAGCUGUGGGUCGGAGUGAAAGGCUAAUCAAGCCCAGAGAUAGCUGGUUCUCCCCGAAAGCUAUUUAGGUAGUGCCUCGUGACUUACCUUAGGGGGUAGAGCACUGUUUCGGCUAGGGGGUCAUCCCGACUUACCAAACCGAUGCAAACUCCGAAUACCUAAGAGUAUUAUCACGGGAGACACACAGCGGGUGCUAACGUUCGUUGUGGAAAGGGAAACAACCCAGACCGCCAGCUAAGGUCCCCAAAUCAGAUUUCAGUGGGAAACGAUGUGGGAAGGCACAGACAGCCAGGAGGUUGGCUUAGAAGCAGCCAUCCUUUAAAGAAAGCGUAAUAGCUCACUGGUCGAGUCAGCCUGCGCGGAAGAUUUAACGGGGCUAAAAUCUGUACCGAAGCUGCGGAUGUGUCUCAAGACACAUGGUAGGGGAGCGUUCCGUACGCCCAUGAAGGUGGACUGUGAAAUCCGCUGGAGGUAUCGGAAGUGCGAAUGCUGACAUGAGUAACGAAAAAGGAGAAAAGAAACCUCCUCGCCGAAAGUCCAAGGUUUCCUACACAACGUUAAUCGAUGUAGGGUUAGUCGGCCCCUAAGAUAAGGCCGAAAGGCGUAGUCGAUGGGAAGCAGGUUAACAUUCCUGCACCAUACAUGAUUGCGAUGGGGGGACGGAGAAGGCUAGGUUAUCCAGGUGUUGGUCAUCCUGGUUCAAGCAAGUAGACAGACAUUCUAGGCAAAUCCGGAGUGUUAAUGUUGAGAUGUUAACAGGUAACCCCUCCAUGGAGGGGCCAACUAAUCAAUGCCAUGCUUCCAAGAAAAGCCUCUAAGCUUCAGAUUAUGUAUGACCGUACCCUAAACCGACACAGGUGGACUGGGAGAGAAUCCUAAGGCGCUUGAGAAAACUCGGGUGAAG